rnacentral:rRNA from 1 species
AACUGGAGAGUUUGAUCCUGGCUCAGAACGAACGCUGGCGGCGUGCUUAACACAUGCAAGUCGAACGAGAAAGGAAUCUUCGGAUUCCGAGUAGAGUGGCGCACGGGUGAGUAACACGUGGAUAACCUGCCCUGUGAUCUGGGAUAACCGACCGAAAGGACGGCUAAUACCGGAUAAGCCCACGACGUCUUCGGACGAUGUGGGAAAAGAUUUAUCGUCACAGGAUGGGUCCGCGGUCCAUUAGCUAGUUGGUAGGGUAACGGCCUACCAAGGCCACGAUGGAUAGCUGGUCUGAGAGGAUGAUCAGCCACACUGGAACUGAGACACGGUCCAGACUCCUACGGGAGGCAGCA